GAUGGGUGCCCCUUGUGGUCGGUGGACAGGUGGUGCAUGGUUGUCGUCAGCUCGUGUCGUGAGAUGUUGGUUAAGUCCCGGCAACGAGCGCAACCCUCGUCCUAUGUUGCCAGCGGGUCAUGCCGGGGACUCAUGGGAGACUGCCGGGGUCAACUCGGAGGAAGGUGGGAGUGACGUCAAUCAUCAUGCCCCUUAUGUCUUGGGCUUCACGCAUGCUACAAUGGCCGGUACAAAGGGCUGCGAUACCGCGAAGUGGAGCGAAUCCCAGAAAGCCGGUCUCAGUUCGGAUUGGGGUCUGCAACUCGACCCCAUGAAGUCGGAGUCGCUAGUAAUCGCAGAUCAGCAACGCUGCGGUGAAUACGUUCCCGGGCCUU
rnacentral:rRNA from 1 species